UCUUGGACUCCUUUUCCAAGUUGAGCUCUUUCCUCUCUUCUUGACUAUCCUUAUCCUUCUUGAAUACUAUAAUGUCUAGCAAACAUUUUUCUAUAGAGAUGUUGUCUUCUCUUUGGACUUAAAGUGAUAGAGUUGGAAGAAAAGUCUCCUCCCUUUUAGUGUUGGAAUCCUUCAAGUAAUCUCCCUCUACCUCUCUAUUUUGGUGUCCUUCUAUGCCUAGAAUUAUUUUAGCCAAUUACUCUUCCCGAAGGCCUUCUUGGUUCCCUUUCUUUUCGGCUUCUUCUUCCUUCUCUAAGUCAGAAUUAAGAAGCACAAGCUUCCUUGUGUAACUAGGUCUCCUCCCCCUUGGACUCCUUUGGGUGUGGAUACUUGGACUCAAAGUCAGGCUUGGCCAAGUCUUGGGCUUCUUCUUGGCGACAACUAUACCUCUUCUUGGUCAUCCAAGACUGAAACUAGGUUUGUAUGGCUUGAAUCUCCUCGGGUAGGGCUUAAUAAGCUCUUCUUAGGUUGAUCCUUUAGAGCAAAGCCUUUAGGCUCUUGGGUCUUGGGCUUUAGCCUCUUGGACUGGCUAUUUUGAAGUAUCUUAGACUCAUCGUGGGUCUGGAGCACUUGUUGGGCUUCAAGAAAAUUCACCCAUUCAAAAAUAGGCCUACAAACUCACAGGACUCCACCCACGGGUAGGGGAGUUCUUUUCCGUGUGUGAAAAGGACUCACGAGCAUGAGGUCUUAUGUGCGUGACAUGUGCUCCCAUGCUAACAUUACGCGAGCAUCCCUUAUAUGCACGUGGAUGGCUUGUUGUGUGUGCAUAUGAGGACCGUGUCUCGCAUGUGGGUUCUCU
rnacentral:lncRNA from 1 species